rnacentral:rRNA from 1 species
UACGGAGGGAGCUAGCGUUGUUCGGAAUUACUGGGCGUAAAGCGCACGUAGGCGGCGAUUCAAGUCAGAGGUGAAAGCCCGGGGCUCAACCCCGGAACUGCCUUUGAAACUAGAUUGCUAGAAUCCUGGAGAGGUUAGUGGAAUUCCGAGUGUAGAGGUGAAAUUCGUAGAUAUUCGGAAGAACACCGGUGGCGAAGGCGGCCCACUGGAUCGGUACUGACGCUGAGGUGCGAAAGCGUGGGGAGCAAACAGG